rnacentral:rRNA from 1 species
UACGUAGGGUGCGAGCGUUGUCCGGAAUUAUUGGGCGUAAAGAGCUCGUAGGCGGCCUGUCGCGUCGGAUGUGAAAGCCCGGGGCUUAACCCCGGGUCUGCAUUCGAUACGGGCAGGCUGGAGUUCGGUAGGGGAGACUGGAAUUCCUGGUGUAGCGGUGAAAUGCGCAGAUAUCAGGAGGAACACCGGUGGCGAAGGCGGGUCUCUGGGCCGAUACUGACGCUGAGGAGCGAAAGCGUGGGGAGCGAACAGG